rnacentral:piRNA from 1 species
UCCCACAUAAGGCACCAACAACAGACAAGG